rnacentral:misc_RNA from 1 species
AACGCAUCUUGCGCCCUUUGGUUACUCCGAAGGGCAUGCCUGUUUGAGAGUCAUUAUUAUUCUCAACUUCAAAGUUUACUUUGAAGCUUGGAUAUGGGGGACUUUGCUGGCGACUUGUUGGCUCCUCUGAAAUACAUUAGCAGAACCUUAAUGUUCUUUUGGCUCUGGUUUGAUAAAUGAUAUCUAUGCCAUUGCCAAGGAAAUCCUGGUUUCAGCUUCUAAAGUCACUUUGUUGAAAACUUGACCUCAAAUCAGGUAGGACUACCCGCUGAACUUAA